UUAACCCGCGGUACACCGCGGGCAUAUAUAUUAUUUGAAAUUUUUUGUUGAAUUAUUAAUUUCAAUAUUUUAGUUGAUAUCAUGUAUUUUUUCUAUUAAUUUAAAUGUAUAUAUUGAUAUAGAGAGUUGUAUAUAUCUAUAAAUGGUAGAAUAAGUCAAUUUCAAUAUCAUUUCUUAAUAAUAAUAUUUUAAAUUUGUAUUAAUGUUUACUCAAACCCGUUCCGCAAAACCCGUCCCGUGUUAUUUUAAAUUUUUGUAUAUGUUUAGAUAUUCAUUAUAUUUAAAACAUUUUAAGAGUUUAAAAUUAACUAUAUUCGACAAAAUUUAAACAGUUUAACUAAAAACCCGACGUAAACCCUAUACAAACUUUUAAAUGUGGAUGCUUGAUAAGUUAAAUUUUCUGUUCAUUCGGAUUUGGAUUGUAAAUUAAUUGUGGUUAUGAAAAAUAAACAAAAACUAUAAAUAUUAAGAAUAUAUUUAAACUAUAAAAAAUUUUAAAAUAACACGGGACGUGUAUUAUAGUUGGAUGAGAUUAUAUGGUGGGACGGGUAAGAAUCGUUAUUAAUAAAAUUUAAAAUAUUAUUAACCUGACAUUUCUAAUUUUGUUAAAUCUUUAUAUUUAUUUUGUUAACACCAUAAAUAUUAGACAUAUUGAAUUAAACUGGUCAAAAUUAAGAUUAUAUGAAACAAAAUUAUCUCCUAGUAUAUUGCGGGUUAAAUCUUAGUACUAACAUAAAUGUGGGAAAAAAAAAAAACCAGGUUUGUGAAAGGAAGAAGCUUAAUUAGUCGGUUUAAUCUCUUGGAAUGCCUUCCAUUUCGGUUAUUGUAUAAUUGGUAUUGGUACGACAAAAUCUGGUAAUUGUAAGGCAUUUUGCCAUUUCUAAAAACCUAAUCAAUCAAACACAAAUUAUCUUCAUCUUUUUCUCUCUGUCGUGUUCAUCAUUGAAUCCCAGAUUUUCCAUUAUUCUUCAACAAUUGGUGAAUUCUAGAUCGGAUAUAUCUUACAUCCACAGAUUUACUGUUUCAAAAUUGAAUUGAGGAUAAAAUACAAAGUCAAAUUAUCGAAUUAUCAAUCUCUGAUAUUUUUGCUGACUUUGAAAAUGAAAGCUAAGGGAAAGAAAGGAGAAAAACCCAACCCUAACGAAAUUCGCAUCAUUUUUGUUUUCAUUUGCAGUUGCGAAUUUUGGGAUUGGCUGAAGCAAUUCCGAUUGCACAACAAUGGCUUCUCGUAUCAUCAUCAAUCAUUCCAAAAAGGUUUCUCUUUCUCAUAUUUUUUUUUCAUUUUUCUAUGGGUUUACUUCUGUUUUUGAUCUUUUAAGUUCUUUGAUCUGGUGAAACUGAGUUUAUGCAUUUGUUUUUAAGUGUUUUGCUCUAUCAGUAAAAAAAAAUUUCUGAACUGAGUUUCGUUUAU
rnacentral:lncRNA from 1 species